CUUCUUCAAGUCCAGGUCGACAACGAACUCCGACUCUUCUGGCGACAAUUCUAGCCCUCCAAUCGACCAUCGUUCAAGCCCCAAAUCCUAUUUAAGCACGAUCUUUUUCCUAGUCCUAAACCCUACCUCGGCUCCCUAGUAUUCUCCGCAGUUAGAACCUCACUCUCUGGAUUCAAUUGAUCACAGGUAAGCAAUCUCCCUCUCUGCUCACGGCGAUGACGACGACGACGUCAUUUCGAAUUAGGUUCAACGCCAGUUCUAACAAGUUCCAAGGUAAAAAAGCUUUCUCUUCUAUCCUUACAAACUGCCUUGCUUCCGUGGCCACAUUAGAAACAUUCCAAUAGUUUUCGCCGACGGUUUCCAUUCUCAAGUCAAAGUUCCAGGGCAACCCAAGUCGAUUUAAUCUCUCGUUUAGCCUCGAAAUUAGGUCAAGGACCGAUUCAGUUGUUUAGUUCUCGAUUUCCUCUAGAUUUUUCAUGUUUUGAGGUUUGCCAAAGUCAUGGGCUCCCCUCGCCGGAUUCUGGGAAUUUCUCUAGAAUCAUUGUUAAAGAAGAGUCUGGGAAAUUUUAGUAGUAGCCCUUGGGAGUUUCAGUGAUCACAGUUUGGUCGCCAAACUUUUAGUAAUUCUAAUCAGUACUCAUGCUUUUAGAAACCAUGUUUCGUAUGCAGAACUUUUAGGUUCUGUUAGUUCAGUCCAUAACCAUUAGAUGUCAUUGCCACGACAUAUAACUUUCAGAUUGCGACGGAAUGUACCCAAAUAAUUUCCUAAGAAGUUCAAACUAGGUUAAUUAUUUAUUGUAGAUUAUUAGAUUAUUAGAUUAUAGAAUUGAUGCCUAAUAGGUUUAAACUUAUAGUCGAUGAUAAAUUGUUCAGUAUGAAAUUUAUAAUAGUUGGAUAAUAGAAUAAGAUUUAAAUUAUGAAUUAGUUAUUAUUAGUUGAUCCAAUGUAGACUUAUUAGUCCAUGAAUUAGACAUGAUGAAUAUGCCAGUUCUUCCAAGAUUAAAAUAAUUAGUAGAAAAUAAUCAUUAGUAGUGAAUCCGGUUUGUCACACUUCACAACCGACCGUGAAGUGGUUUUCCCCAACUCGUCGAAUAAGCGCCCUAGGCAGCUCCAGUCUUGUUGGAUCAUAGUCUAAUAUUACCCUCAUCCUUAGGUUCAUAAAGAUGAUCCAACUUCCAUCUUUUAUCCCGUUGUCUCGUGUUGGACCCACACCACUUGAUUUUAAGGUGGAUUGGUUUAAGGGGGUAAUACCUUGUCAUUGUUAUAAGUUAGGUUAAGUUUUACUUAAUUUGAUGCAUUUGAUUUGAUACCAUGAUUUUCGUGAUUAUGUGUUUAUUUAUCUCCUAUAUGUUAUCACUUUGAUGUUGUGCAAGAUGUGCCUCCUAUAUGAUGAUAAUGCAAGACUAACGAUAAUGUUAGCACUAUGAUUAGGUUAGACUAACAAUAACGUAAGAUCUAUGAUGAGGAUAGAUGACGAGUCAGUAUAAGCGAGCAAGAACACCUUACCUAGAUGAGUAAUAGGUAGAUUUAAAACAUGAAACUCACUAGCUAGCCCACCGCCCCUUAUGAUUCGGGCCACAGUUGCCCCCAUGAUCCGGGCUUAUGCCCACUAUGAUUUACGGGUCAAGUGUUGCCCCUGUGAUUUAUGGGCCUCAGGUUUCCCUCUAUGAUUUAUGAUAUCGUUUGAUGGAUAUGUACUCCCAAACCUUCAUGAUUUUAGCGCUAUGGCGGUGGGUUAGUUAAUUGAGUUGGGGGACGCCCCACAAGAAAUAAGAUACCUUAGAUAAGGUCAAUGAAAUUAUAAGAAUUAGAGUCAUGUAAGUUGACUUCCUCAAGAAUGAUGUUAUGACAUGACAAGUUAUGAGAACUAUAGUUCUAUGAUUUGUAAUGCACCCAACCUGAUUGACUUUAGCUUCAAUCUUUCAUGAUGAUAUCUUGAUAAUGAUUAGUCAUUUAUGAUUCCUUGUCGAUGAUUCUUUUUUGAUGAUUCCUUGUUGAUGAUUAGUGGUUGAUGAUUCCUUAUUGAUGAUACUUUUUUGAUGAUUCCUUGAUGAUGAUGAGUUGUUGAUGAUUCCUUGUUGAUGAUUCUUUAUUGAUGAUUCCUUAUUGAUGAUUAAGUACUUGUCAUGUUAAGUUCUUACUUAUGAUAGGAUUACAUAAAGAGGACUACUUUAUGUAAUAUGGUUACUCAGUUAGUACUUAUGAACGUAUAUGUGUUCUUAUUUUCCUAUGUUCAGUUAUGACGCUCAUAUGAUGUGCCUAUAUGAUUAAACUAGAGUAUGAGGUGAUUAGAUAACCAAUGAACAACAAGAACUACUCUAAGUCUAAACGAUUAAUAUAUGAUCUAGUAAUACAUACCUCUCUAGCUAGACUAACAAACCAUGUUUUCGGCAAUAUGAUCUUGGACCAAUAGAGAUCCAAUACUUAGUUAAUUGGGCCACUAGGGGCCCUUCCAAUUAGACUUUAGGCCACUAGAGACCCUUAUGUUUGUAUUGGGCCAUUAGAGACUCAUAGUUCCUCUUAGUUCAUCGAGUGGAUGGUUUGACUAGUAGUUGAGUUGGAUAAUGAUUUCUAGUCAUGUUACUGAAGAUGUAUGAUGCUAGUAAGAGUUAGACAACUUAAAUAACGGUUACAAAGUGAUAGAAAUGAAUGUUAGCUCUAUAUGAUUAGAUGAUGGUGAAUAAUAUGUUGGUAACACAUUUAUGUCAAUUUAUUAAUAGUUAAGAUUAGAGCACGAAAGACUGACCCCAUAACCACCCACGAGGGUGUUUUGAUAGUUGAUGCAGGAGCAGAGUGUAGCUGAUUUGGGAUGUCGAAUUGUGGAUUUACUCUUCAGAUACGAUUAUUUGUUUAAAGUGUUUAUGGUGAGACUAGAAUUCGUUUUCAUGUUGAUCUUAUGAUAUAGUAGUUUCCGCUGUUUGUUAAAGUAUUUAUGUUUGUUCUACAUUAUUGCCUUUAUGUAUUCAAAUUCAGUUUUGAAUUCCUUUUCAAAGAGUCCAUGUGGGGCAAUGUAGUCAUUUAACAAAUGCUUAACAAAUGCUAGAAGUUUAGGGUAUUUCAGAGUAGCUAAACUCUUCGUGUUGUUUGAGCAAGUUUAUCCUGGAACAAGUUCCUUUUUACUUUUAUUUUUGUUUUUGUGUGUUUGAGUCUUUUCAUGGAUCAUGCCUCUUGCCUCUCCGGUCUUUCACAGCUUCUUGGUAUUCCUAUUAACACUUUUUCAUUCCAUUCGGUGAGGACAUUGUCCAAACUAAGUAUGGUGUGUGUGUGUAUAGAAACCUGUUAGGCAGUCUUUUUGGAUUCAUUGUAUUUACAUGUUGAGUCCUAAAAUCAAGCCUUGUGGAACCAUUUUUUAAUCAACUACUUGGCAUGCUUCUUGAAUUUCCUUAUGAUUUGUGCACUUGAAUUGUUGACUUGCUUUGUGAACCUAGAUUUGAUAAGAAUAUAGGCCUAUGAUCAAAGUCUAUUGAUUUGUUCUUUACAGCUGCUUUGAUUAGUUCUUAGUAGCACAGACUCUCCAACUCAAUGUGUCUGAACAUGCAUAUUAGCAAUAUACCAUCUAGGAGACCAAUUCAAGGCCUAAAAAUACUAUUUUGUAGUAUGGAUAGUUUGCUUCACUAGUAGACUUGUUCUUAAAUUCAUUUGAAUGGUGUUCUAUGUUGGUUGGUAAUUUAAUGCUUGCAUGAUACCGAAAACUUGAACUUGCUCGAUAGUGACAACUUGAAUGAUAGAGAUGCUCAUGUAUAACCAAUUAAUAGCCAAACAACAUUUUUCUAUCCCCCCUCAUUUAAAUAUAUCCACUUUCUUUCAAGCCUUUCAUUUUAUCAUUGUAUGCAUUAGUGACAUGUAAUUCUGUUCGAGUCUAGAAGUUUAGAAGUUUCUAAAUUGUGUAAUUUGUAUGAUUAUCUAGUCUUCAUUAGUAGUGUUUUUGGUACAAUUGUUUUCGAAAAAAAAGAGAAAAAUAAAAAAACUAAGGAGACAAUCGAGAAAACCUAGUCUCGAAGAUGAAACAAAGAUGAAAAAAUGCAAAAAGAAAAAUUUGGCAAUAAAUAAGUAGAAUAACAAGCAGAAAAGCUUGAAGUAGUAGUAGUAGUUUGUUUAGUAUCAAGCUCUUAGAUACAUUGGAUCCGUACAUAGUAUUUCGAUGUUGUAAGUAGCUCUACCUCUGUAUUAGAGUAAACGGAAUGGUCCGCCACAGUGUAUAUCACCAUAUAUCUCAUUUUGUCUACAUUACAACCCUAAUAAAAGAACUUUUGACUUGUGUGAAACUGCUUGAUGUAAUUGUAAGUUUGGUUGACGUUCAAGUGUUAGAAGCGCGCCUUAGAAAGAGGAAUGAGUGAAUAAACACUGUCCCUGAACACUAAGAGUGAAUAUUUCUCAACUUCAUCUUUAAGUUGUGCACCUAGUGAGAGGUCUAGAUUGGUAGUCUAAUAUGCAUGAUGAUGUGUGGCAAGUUGGAGAAAUUUUUGUGAGCCCUUUAUGUCCUAGAUUGGUUUUUUUGUUUAAGGUUCAGUUGCACGAUUAAGCACUACAGGGGUACAUCGAGACAUAUGAAUUCGCUAGAAUAUGGAUUUUUCCAAGUAAUUUGAAUCAAUUGUAGAUGUUUUCUAUGUUUGUGAUUAGCUUUUUUCUUAAGGACAGGAAAAGCUUAAGUAUGGGGUUAUUUGAUGACGUACGAUUUACCACGUUCAUCGCCCUCAUUUAAGAGGAAUUUGACGCUUAAUUGUAUAGCUUUGGAUAGAUGUUUAUGAUGUUUCUUGCAUUAUAAGCUUCUAUCACGAUUUAGUGUCUCGGACCCGUUAGGGGUCCAUUUGAUGUCGUUCUGAAGUGUUUUUUUAUAGAUUUCAGUUACAUAACAACAUCGAGGACUUAUUUAGAGUAAUACAACAUGCAUGGAGGAGAUAUGGGGAUUGAAGAAGGAGAAGAACCAAAAGUGUUGAAACUAAAUAAAUAAUUACGCCUAAGUCAAAUAGCUUACAGAGAAGGUCUAUGACAAAGCAAGGCGUAAUCUAGGAUGUUUUGCUCGUCCUGGAGUUGUUAAAGAUAGCGCUUAACUUGGGUCAAAUAUUGCCUUGAUUUUCUCAAUUAUUAGACAAAUUGUUCCCUCUUUCAUUGACAUUUUUGGAUGUUUGAAUACCUUACAUGUUCAAAUUCAUGAUGUUUGAUGCAUAUUUAUUUCCCCUUGGCCCCUUGGGCCGUAUUAUGUUGUUUUGCAUGUUUUUAAUGCAUUCUCACGUGUUCCAUGACACUUGAGAUUCAACAGGGACUAAAUUGGAGCUCAAACAAAGUGGGAAUCAUCAAAACAGUGAAAGCUGGCGAGGCAUGAGAUUAGUGCGCCCUAGACGAAGAAGUGUGCAUACUAUUUCGGCAAGAGAGCACUUUUUUAGAAGCGGGCCUGCAGUCUUUCAUGGGCCAUAUAUAAGACCUUUUUGACCUGGGAAAAGGGGAGAAUGACCUAAUAAACAUCAUAAUUCGUCCAAAGAGAGGACAUCAAGGGUUUUUGGACAUACAGAUAGCAAGAGAGAACGAUUGAAAGCAAGAGAUGGAUCAUCGAUUGGCCAAGGAGCAAAGAGCAACAACAAGAUUGGAUUUCCUCGAAGAAUCAUGUCUUCUUCUCCGAUUAUUCUUUUCUUCCCUUAUGAUUUUGUUGUUGAGACCAUGAGUAGCUAAUCUUUCGCGUCAUUUGGAUUAGAUGAAACAUUAGCUUAGUUUUUGUAUGGGUGAUGGGUUUUUAAACCCUUGAUAUUGCUAUCGAUG
rnacentral:lncRNA from 1 species